GGUUGUAUAUUUUAAAUAGAAUAGGAGUUUUGUAAUCUUCAGGUAUAAUAAAAAAUUAUUACAACCU
rnacentral:tRNA from 1 species